UAUAUUUAAAACUCUUGUGUAUAUCCCUUGCCCCUGCAUAUAAAUUAUAAUUAACAUCUUCCCCCAUACUAAGGUGCUCACAAAUUUUAUCUUUCAUACAUCAAGUAAUUAAAUCAAGUAAGUCCAUGUUUUGUUAAUCUUUUUUUUUUCCUCAAAUAAUAUGACUUUCAUUUCUAUAAAAUAAAAUUAAUGUAUUCAAGCAAUGUUGAUACAUAAAAGGAUAAUCCAACAAACUUUGUUGGUACUGUAUUUUCUUCUGAGUUAUAAUGGAGUUCAGGGAAGAAUCAAACUAUCUAAACAAGAGGACUCGGAGUUGGAAGAGCAACUUAAACUUCUCAACAAGCCAUCGGUCAAAAUUAUGAAGAGUCAACACGGAGACACAUAUAAUUGGGUGAAUUUCUACAAACAGCCGGCAUUUGAUAAUCCAUUAUUAAAGAAUCACAAUUUUCACCCGAAGGCAUGUGUCUACUUUUCUCUCCACUUUACUUUUUAACUUUGUAAUAAGAGUACUAUUUGUUAACACACAAUUUGAGCAUUUUUAGAUAGACAGAUGAAACCUACUUUAGCUAGGUCUACGCAAAAUUCAAGUACAUCUGCAACUAAUUGCUCAUCGACGAUAUGGUCUUGUCAAAAGAUGGUGGUUGUCCUUUUGGAACAAUUCCCAUUAGAAAAUUGACUAAAGAAGAUCUUAUUAGACAAAAAACAUGCCAUCGCCAGAAGAUGUCACAUAUGACACUAAGUUGACUACAAUUAACAACACAAGUGACCCAAAAGGGAGAUACAUGUCUUCGAAAGGAGGAUACAUCUAAAUAGGUGGAUCCAACUCUUUAUGGAGAUACUAAAACUAGGUUUUUUGUACAUUUUCAGGAUCUAGUCAAUGGAAAUUGGUGGCUUCUACUUGGAGAUGACAAUCAACAGAUUGGCUAUUGGCCUCAAAAGAUUUUCACUAGCUUGGCAAACUUUGCUAAUAACGUUGAAUGGGGAGCCCACCGGGUGUGCCUGAACCUCCAAUGGGCUGAAGUUUUUUUUCCCAUCGGAAGCACCGGUUCUGAUGGUUAUUGAAAGGGACUUAGUGUUUUAAAUGAUAAAGGUGUAACAAUAGAUGUUGAUCUAACAAAUGUAUAUGUCGAUGAUCCUAAUCUGUAUCGAGUUAGUGAUAACCCACAUAUGUUACCCGUGUAUUUUAUGGCGGACCUGG